GCUCCGUUAGUCUAGCUCGGUCAAGGACACUGCCCUCUCAAGGCAGAAACCCGGGUUCAAAUCCCGGACGGAGCA
rnacentral:tRNA from 1 species